GUAUGUGUAUAUGUGUAUAUAUGUGUAUAUCUAUAUAUACAUAGUUUUGUAGUAUUUCUUGUUUUUAUGUAUGUAUUUGUUUUAUAAUGUUCUUAGAAAUGCCCAACCAGGGACAGGAGUUGAAAAUUAGCACUAGCUAUAAACUCUAUAUGCUGCACAUCAGUUACAGGCUUUGUAUUGUAACUAUGUUUGCUUGUAUGGUCCCUGUUAAAUAAACUUUCAAUAAAUAAAUAAAUAUGAUUUUGAACUAAUUCACUGUGCUGUUAAAUUGCAUGUAGUUAUUACAGUGUUUUUCCGUGUUGCAGUUGGUGUGAAUAAGCUUUUCAAAGCAGUUUUGGAGUUUGAUUUAAAUGACCUUGUGUUUUUCUUCCAUAGUUUUACUCUAUAUGAUUGCUUUUGGCUGCGUUGCUCUGAUCCUGAUUCUGCUGUUCAUCGUCAUAUGUUACGUUUACAAGAAAAAACAUCGGAAGUCAACACCAGCCGCUGCUGGAGAUACGGAGCUCAUAUACACUAAUAUACCUAAGAGAAAGGAUGAAAAGAAGACAACAGGUAAGAAACUCAAUGAAGCUCAGAGAUCUACUUUAGACUACUCUGUAAAACAACACAAGACUCUAUCAGCUUGUGGUUCAUUUCUCUCAGUCAUUGAAUUAGUCAUGUCACUGCCUAGAUCUCAAGGUCAUUCAGUCAUUAUUACUAAUUGGAAACAAAAACCUUCUAGUUAAUUUUACGUUGCAAAUUGUUACGUGUUGUUGCUCUUUCAUGACUAAAAGAAAAGAUUAUGUAAAAACUAGAUUUCUGUCUUUUAAAAUCAUUUAGUUUAAAAAGUUUGAAAGCUUUUUUAUAGAUUAAGAUAAUGUUUGAAACACUAAGACAGUAAGUGUCUUGUAAGUGUUCAAAUCUUUUUUGUCUCUUUUGCAGUUUAUUCUUUUGCCCUGAAUCCGUCGGUCAGUUUGUUACUGUGUUUUUCCCCUUUUACACAAAUAGAGAACUGACUCAGAGAAACUGUCAUCAUUAAACUCUUUCUGCAGAGUGAUGGAAAGACUUGACUAGUCAAGCUCAACCAUUCAAUGCUAGGGUAAAUCUGCAUCUUAUUACCCAUUCUGACAUAGAUUUUGAACUAAUUAUUCGUUAAUUGAUGUAGUUAAAUUUUUUUUUAUUUGUGAAUAGUUUUCAAACAUUUUGGAGUUUGAUUUAAAUGACCUUGUGUUUUUCUUCCAUAGUUUUACUCUAUAUGAUUGCUUUUGGCUGCGUUGCUCUGAUCCUGAUUCUGCUGUUCAUCGUCAUAUGUUACGUUUACAAGAAAAAACAUCGGAAGUCAACACCAGGUCAGUCAGUUUUGAAUCUGUAGUUCAUAUACGAACUGAUGAAGGUUAAAAUGUAGUACUAUUCAAUGCAAGCAGCAAUUACAGAGCCAAACACAUGGGUUAUUAUGCCUUAAAAUGCGUAGAAAAUUUGUAGCUUAUAAUGAUGUCUCAGAUCAUCUUCAUAACAUCUGUAAUGUUUCUACUUUUGGUUUAAUUGUCUUUGAAACUGUCAAUCCUAAAUGGUAAAUGUCAUAUUUUUGUGGAACCUCUUAAAAUGAACCUGUAAGUCUUUACUUCAAUCACAUCUUGAUUGUUUUAUUUCAAAUCCAUUGUAGUGGUGUAUAAAGCGCAAAA
ensembl:lncRNA